rnacentral:sRNA from 1 species
CUUCUUCAAUCUGUUGUGGGCAAACAAAGUGGAUAUGCGCAUCAAUACCACCAGCGGUGAGUAUCUGACCCUCGCCAGCAAUCACUUCAGUGCCUGGGCCUAUGAUGAUAUCCACUCCCGGCUGGGUAUCCGGAUUUCCGGCUUUGCCAACCUUCAGAAUGCGGCCCUCUUUAAUACCUACAUCGGCUUUGAUAAUCCCCCAGUGGUCGAUAAUUAGUGCAUUGGUGAUCACCAGGUCUGCGGUUUUGGCGCUGGGACACUGCGAUUGUCCCAUGCCAUCACG